GCACAAUAUAAUAUAUUUGUGUUAAAAUAAGUAACACAUUUACAUAAAAAAUUAUUUAUAACUAUAUGGUAAUGGAAAAUCUGUAAAUUGUAUAAUUGAUUUCCUUCUCAUUCUUUGCGUUGCCUCAUGAAAUUUCCUUACUCAAUCAUCCGUAAAUCCUCUCAACAGACGAUUGUACCCCACUUUACCCAAGGGUAAUCAAAAAAUAUGUCCAAGUUGUUGACAAUGGACAAGGUGUCAAUAUCGAUUCCUACAUUUAUUAUUUGAAGCAUUGAAUAUUCCUUCAAUAAUUAAAGCAAUGCCGAACUUGUAUUAAUCAGUCAGGGCGUCGACAAUCAAAGAAAAGCCUUAUCCAGUUGGGCACAUGAAAUUUUUUCCAUGGAUUUAAAGUAUUUGUCCUUAAAUCUAUUUUUUUCCAUGACUUUAGUAAACUCAUCGCCUUCUGGGGCAAGACCACAUUUUAAUCUCAUCACGACCACAUUUUUGUAAUUUGAACCCUGUCGGUGCCCUAUAUAGUGACCACAACUCCUCUGCCUCAUCAAUUCUAAUCAAUCUGAAUACUAGUUAUUGAAGUAAUUAGGCUGAGAAUUGUAUGUCAAGUAACUCGGCUAAGAACCCAAGGCAUGAGUUACCGAAAUCUUCCCAUUGUCGAUCGUUAAAAUUCUCCAAUAUGAUUUUCGUCCACUUGAAAUUGCUCCUUUGAGAAAUGUCGGCUCUCAAGCCUGCAUUUUCAGGAGCUUAGAAUUCAAAAUUCAUUUGCAAGAAUAAGGUACAAUAAGAAAGUAAAAAAGGUCAGAUUAUAAUAAUUCAUACAUGUUAAUUUAAAAC
rnacentral:lncRNA from 1 species